ACCGAGAACCGGAGAGCGUCUCAUCCUCUUCCCCUUUUCUGUUCGUGCGCAUGCAAGUUUGUUUUCACUGAGGAUGCAAGUGUUUUUGUUCAGACACCGACAGAAAUAAACCCAAUAUUAUUUCGUACGAGAACCUGCUAAAUCAAAAAUAUAUGUUUUUAUUAUUACUAAAAAAGUAUUAUUUUGUUGCUCUCGUAUGCAAGAGCGAUGGGUUUAGUUCUCGUUGCCAAUAUUAAAUAAGCCUUUGCCAAAGAACAAAACAUUAUUUUGGGAGAUGGGCAGUACUGCAAUGGAUUCUAAGAAGAAAGAUGAGAAGAAAAAUUCAAGAAAAAGGAGAUCGCUUCGGAUAAACAUGCCUGACUUGAGCUCCUUAGCCAUGCCGUUCCUGGAAGGAGAUGUGGAACAUGCGAACAAGGACCAUGCAAGCAAGGGGGAGCUUAGCUGCCAUUCAGCCAGCCCGACCAAAACCUUCUUCAGCCGGGGUCCGUUUAGUCGGCCCUCUAGCCCCAUGUCCGCACCGGCCCGAUUCAGAAACAGCCCUGGAUCGCCCAAAACCAUCUUCCCAUACUCCUCCAACCACGACUCCUCGCCCAAGUGUUCACGACGCCGCAGCUUCACCGGAAUCUUUCGCUCGUCCUCCAAAGACUCCACAAAUCCCUCCUCAUCUCCUGUCAGCAUCAAACUUUUCUCUCGGGCCAGGAAAGCCUCUGGUAUCUCCUCAUCUCCCACCACUCCAACACAACUGACCAAGCAGACUUCGACAUUUCUUCUGGAAGCCAGUCGGAAUGACACAGUGCACCGUUCCUCCUCCUCCCCCCUCGACACAGGACAACACCACAGCCCGCCUGCCGCAAAACCACCGCCCUGUCCCUGCACGGCACCUCUAUCUACCUCACGUGUGGUCCACGGUUUAUCUGAAGACAUGCUGGAGAAACUCGAUCUCGAGGAUGAAGCUGUUGAACAAUCUGAGAGCGACAUUUACAUGCGGUUUAUGAAGUCACAUAAGUGCUACGACAUCGUCCCUACCAGCUCCAAGCUAGUGGUCUUUGACACAACACUGCAAGUAAAAAAGGCCUUUUUUGCCUUGGUGGCUAAUGGGGUCCGAGCCGCCCCUCUGUGGGAGACCAAGAAACAGAGUUUUGUGGGCAUGCUAACCAUCACAGACUUCAUCAACAUACUUCACAGAUACUACAAAUCACCCAUGGUACAAAUCUAUGAGCUUGAGGAGCAUAAAAUUGAGACGUGGAGAGAGCUCUAUCUACAAGAAACAUUCAAGCCUUUAGUGAACAUAUCUCCAGAUGCAAGCAUAUUUGAUGCUGUGUAUUCACUGAUCAAAAACAAGAUCCACCGGUUACCAGUCAUCGACCCUGUCAGUGGAAAUGCACUUUACAUUUUGACGCACAAAAGGAUCCUGAAAUUCCUUCAGCUGUUUGUGUGUGAGAUGCCAAAGCCCGCCUUUAUGAAGCAGACACUGGAGGAGCUGAGCAUCGGGACCUACAGCAACAUCGCCUUCAUCCACCCAGACACGCCAAUCAUCAAAGCACUCAGCAUCUUUGUGGAGAGGAGAGUGUCAGCACUGCCUGUGGUGGAUGAGUCAGGAAAAGUUGUAGAUAUUUAUUCCAAAUUUGAUGUCAUUAAUCUUGCUGCUGAAAAGACGUACAACAACCUUGACAUAAGUGUGACACAGGCGCUGAUGCACAGGUCACAGUACUUUGAAGGGGUUAUGAAGUGCAACAGAUUUGAGACACUGGAAACGAUAGUAGAUCGGAUAGUCAAGGCUGAGGUGCACAGGCUGGUGGUGGUGGAUGAGAAUGGCAGCAUCGUGGGCAUCGUCUCUCUGUCAGACAUCCUCCAGGCACUUGUUCUCAACCCCGCAGGUAUCAAUGCUCAGCAUUCCUAAAGCACAUUUCCAGCAGGACCCUCCUUCUCCCAACCUCUCUCGCCCGAGCCACAGGUACUACCGCCACUGCUACCUCUGCUGGGGUCAAGAAGAUGAUGCAUGACGCUGCACUGCCUGGCUCAUGAUGUGUGCGAGGAUGGCAUGUGCCAACUUAACCAGACGUGGUUGGCUUUGAUUCCAGAGGGCAGUGUGUGUGUGUAUGACCAGGAAAGAGAGCAAAGCGGAGACGGAGUGAUGUGUGCUGAGAUUGCUGGGUCAUGCGACGUUGCUGUCAGAGACUGAAGUAGAAGCGGAGACCACAAGUUUGGGCCACAUGUCAGAAUGAAAGCGUGGGACCAGCGAACUUGACCUAGAUGUGUGCUGUUAGAGGGCAAAAGAAGGGGUUUAUGGGUACACGGCCUGCUAAAUUGGUCUGUUAUCUGAUUUUUAGAUGGACAUAGUGGAUCAUCUCUUAUUCAGAAGGAUACUGUGAACUCUGCCGAUUAUAUCACACUAAGCUUCUGCUCGCACCCUAUGAUAACUAUACUUUUACCUAGUCCUACUAAAACUACGCCAUCUGGUGUCUGAGUAGUGGUCUGCACACAGACUACGGAUUGUACCAUAAUCGCCUCUCUUGGAGAGGGGUGUCUUUGCGUUGGCAGGGCAUUCAGUAAUAAUCUCAGUAUUCAGUGCAUGUUAUGACUGUUUGUUCCUCGUGUAUAUAUACGAUUUUUGGCUUGUGGUGUAUGAGCCCGGUUCACAUAUUUGUACUUUUGACUACUCCUGAAUUUAGGAACUCAUUUAUUCUUUCUCCGCCACAGUCCCUUUGUAAAUGGAGACAGAAAUGGUUUCUGUCUAUGGUGCCUUCUGUCCAGCAGUUAUCGCCCACUACUGGUUGCCAAUGGAACAAGAUUAAUUGAAUGUUUAAAUAAAUCAAAGUGAAUGUUACGGUUGUUUAAAAAAACCAAAAGCCCCUUUUUGCUGUUUUAGUGUGUGUCACUAAUUGUAUUUAUUGCAGAGCUCUACAUUUCUUCACUUUGGGUGUUCUUGAUGUUUUUGAAAUGAUGCUGUAUAUGAUAAUUAAAAUGUUUAUUUAUUUAUAUUUAGCACUUUUGUAAUUUUGAGAGUGAUAUCUAAGUGUGAGAUGGAAAGAUCUAAGAAGCCCCUAUGCAGUAAAACCACAUGCUGAUCAAUGACUUGACGUUCAAUGCAAUUCAACCUUAAAAUCCCACUUUUUUUUUUUUUUUUUGCUGUCCAUGAAGUUACUGACUUCUUGUUUGUAUCGACUGUACUGUACGCGCACGCAGAGCUUCUCUCUGAGGAAUCUACAAGUGCCAGAGAAAGGUCUAUUUUUCUGUGUUUUAAAUGUUUGUAAUACUUCACAUUUUAAGUUCUGAUGUUUUACAGCUAUGUUAGUGUUGUCAUUAUAAAAAAGAGAAAUGUCCAGAGAUAAAUGCAUAUCACUGGCAUGAGAUGCUGAUGGAUAAUCAUGCUUUAUAGUCAUUUUUAUUUUAUUUUACAGUUAAAUAAACAAGAAUAAACUAAGUCUCUAAAACUUUUUUUGUAUUGAGAUGGUUGGCAAAUUAGUAAAAAGGAAAACGUGUAAAAAGGAAAA